ACGUGACAGCCUGUGCUGACUUCCUCAUCCGGGUCUUGGAGAGCGGGGGUGACCUGUGAAAACGGUCGCGGCCUCGGGAGGGCAGAGGCAGAAUCCUAGAUCCUUCGUGGACUAAGGUGAGACACUUCACUUAAGAAAGGUGGACUGAGAAGGAAGAAGAAAGAAGGAAGAAGAAAGAAGGAAGGAAGGAAGAAGAAGAAGGAAGCUCUGCCAGGCAUUAAGGGAUCCUGUUUUGAGAGUUUUGUCUCAGGCCUGCAGUGAGGAGAGCCCACAUCCUGCCAGGGCAAAGGGGCUCCAGGAACCAGGAGGUGAAAGCCCAGGUCUGAGGCUCAGGUCACAGAGCUCAGGUGACAGAGCAGAGGAGGUCCAGGCAGCACAAGGAGUAAAGGCCUGUGGAUCCAGUUCUGCACUGUCUGUCCGUACUCUUGCUACCAGGAAUCAUUAUGCCUCCACCUCCAAAGCGUUUGUGUUACAUGAAGUGUUGGAGCUGCAUACUUAAGGAAAACGUUCAGUCCCAGAGCAAGAAAUGGGGACUUUGGAGUGCACAAGUUCCUGAGUGUGAGGAGGAGAGGGAGCAUACCUCAUCAUCCUCCUCCUCCUCCUCCUCCUCUUCCUCCUCUUCUUCCUCCUCUUCCUCCUCCUCCUCUUCCUCCUCCUCCUCCUCCUCUUCCUCCUCUUCUUC